CAGGUUCACAUUGUCCUUAUCCGCUCUGUUCAAGGUGAUUCUAUUUGCUUUCUUUUCGACUGCGAUUAUAUUUACUUGCUGUGGCCUCUUGUAUUUACGAUAUCUGUUGAAAAUUGGAGAUGUGGUUACUUUUGUGCACCAGAUAUUUUGGUCAGGAGCAGGUUUAACAUGGUUUUUCAUAUUCUGCGAUAUUGGCAAUGGGGUAACCGCUCGUUAUGAGGAUGUUUC